UUGUCAUGUAGACCUUUAAACUCUAGAUCUUCCUGCCUCUGUCUCCCAGGUGUUGGGGUUAAAGUGCAUUACCACACCAGGCUGAUCUGAUUAUUAAAAGACAAAAUAGAAAAUUUGUGGCAGAUAAAUAUUGUAGCAAAUACAAUUCAGAUUGAAGAGCCAUGUGACAACCUGUAGGUAGAAGUAAAAAUGCUGGAGUAGGGAUAGUUCAUGCUUUUCUUCUAGGGGAGUGUAUGUGAUGUAGUUUCUUUUUUGGUGUUUUGAGCUUUGGAGCCUGUCCUGAAACUUGCUCUGUAGACUAGGCUGGCCUCUAACCCACAGAGAUCCACCUGACUCUGCUUCCCCAGUGCUGGGAUUAAGUGCUUUAGUUUCUGAACACAAAUCAUAUAGCCUUACUAGCAAAAGAUAAAUGGCUCAAGUAUAUAUCUCUAUUAGAAAUGUUAGGGUGGGAUUUGUGUGUCCUGGUACUUCACUAUAGGGUGGGUAAUUGGUAGAUAUUUUCACUGUUAGUCUCUUUAAAUAUUACCUCUUGAGUAAAUGUCUUGCUCUGCUUACGGCACAGCCACCUACUCUGCUCUUUUCCAAGCAUGGAGAGUCCAGUUCAGUUUCCUGAAGCUGCAUCGGCUUCAGCCUGGCUGCUCCCUAUCUUUGUACCUGCCAUUUCUCCUCACCUCACAUUGUACAAUAAGAAAACUUCCAGAACCAAAGCAAAGUGACAUCCAAACAAUAAUGACUAAUUGCCUUCCCAGUCUGCUUGGAUACCACUCAUGAAGAAGUUAUGGAAGAAAGUGUCAACUUCCUCCUCUCUGGUGUCUUCAGCUGUCAACGUUGACAAACUUCAACAAGACCCAGUGGGGAAACAAAACAAAACAAAACAUGUAGUGUAGAAAUGCAUUUCUAGGAUUGGGACCCCAUUAUUGUUUCUAGGGACAGUUCUGGAGUGGAGCAACAACAUUUGAUCAGGCCAGCUUGUCCCUUUUGUCUGACUGGAUGUAUGGGGAGUUGCCACAGGAUAGAAAGUGAAAGGUGAAGUCCAGAUGGCCAAAUGCCUUCACAGAAGCAUUGAAACACCCAGGUUGUCCUGUACUCUACCAACUCCCUUUUUGCUUUUUCUCCGUAGUCUUAGUAACUUGGUGUUAGUUUUAAAGUGUAGUUUGAAGGUUAACUAUAGCCCUUUGUUUUGUAAACAGAUUAUAUACAGAAUCUAGUCCAGUAGUCUGAAGGAGCACUAGUUACUAGUUUCCAUUUACAGGGGGAGCUGAUGUGUCAGGGCAGUGGCUGAAAUGCUUGCCUUCUUGGGUAUCAUUAGUAUAAUGGCUGUUUGCUUGAAGCCAUUUUAGGCUGUGUGUGACUCUUGAGGUUCUAGUGAUGACUGAGAAGCCCUGGAAGCCACAGAAUGCUUUCCCAAGCAAGCAUAUGCCAAGCUCUAUCAUCACUGCGAUCCCUUACCUCACUGAUUGUUAAAGCCUAAUUUUUACUUCCCUGUCUCAACUGCUGAAAGUCCCAUUAUUCUAGUAGAUAAGGAUCAUAUGGUUCAGUGAAUUUUUAGUACAGGGAUGGUAGGAGGUUAAGGCAGAGAUAUGGCUAGUGAGACCCUCAUGUGCUGAGGCUCUAGAUGGUGAUUUUAAGUGGGAGUGAUUAAACAGCUUCACAGUUCACACAGCAGUUUUAAUGGUUACCACUUCAGGCCUGCUUCUGCUGACAUCUAAUUGUGACCUUUGAAACAGCACCAUCACUGAUGAGUUACACACCAAGGAAGAAGCUUUCUAGCUAUAUUUAAGUUCUAUAUAGAUGCCUCAAAAUUUGCUUUAUUGGGGAAAUGUUAGGAUUUGAAUUUGAAGGCUAUAGCCAAAUUAGUCCAGGUUUCUGAAUGAACAAUGAUUUGAUAUUUCAGACUCGAAAGCAAGUCCGUUAAGUUACUAAUAAGCAUUUUUCCAUGCUAACAUUAG
rnacentral:lncRNA from 1 species